CCUACGGGAGGCAGCAGUGGGGAAUAUUGCACAAUGGGGGAAACCCUGAUGCAGCGACGCCGCGUGAAGGAAGAAGUCUUUCGGUAUGUAAACUUCUAUCAGCAGGGAAGAAAAUUACGGUACCUGACUACUACGCCCCGGCUAACUACGUGCCAGCCGCCGCGGUAAUACGUAGGGGGCAAGCGUUAUCCGGAUUUACUGGGUGUAAAGGGAGCGUAGGCGGUGAUGCAAUUCAGAAGUGAAAGCCCGCAGCUCAACUGCGGGACUGCUUUUGAAACUGUAUGACUAGAUUGCAGGAGAGGUAAGUGGAACGCCAUGUGUAGCGGUAAAAUGCGUAGAUAUAGGGAAGAACACCAGUGGCGAAGGCGGCCGCCUGGCCUGUGACUGACGCUGAGGCACGAAAGCGUGGGGAGCAAAUAGGAUUAGAUACCCCGGUAGUC
rnacentral:rRNA from 1 species